rnacentral:rRNA from 1 species
CAAUAGCGUAUAUUAAAGUUGUUGCGGUUAAAAAGCUCGUAGUUGGAUUUCUGUUGGGAACGACCGGUCCGCCCAUUGGGUGUGUAUCUGGCUUGUUCUCGGCAUCUUCUUGGUGAACGUUGCUGCACUUGACUGUGUGGAGCGCUACCCAGGACUUUUACUUUGAGGAAAUUAGAGUGUUUCAAGCAGGCAUAUGCCUUGAAUACAUUAGCAUGGAAUAAUAAGAUAGGACCUCGGUUCUAUUUUGUUGGUUUCUAGAGCUGAGGUAAUGAUUAAUAGGGAUAGUUGGGGGCAUUCGUAUUUAACUGUCAGAGGUGAAAUUCUUGGAUUUGUUAGAGACGGACUACUGCGAAAGCAUUUGCCAAGGAUGUUUUCAUUGA